UACAGAGGUCCCGAGCGUUGUUCGGAUUCACUGGGCGUAAAGGGUGCGUAGGUGGUUGGGUAAGUUUGAUGUGAAAGCUCAGGGCUUAACCCUGAAAUGGCAUUGAAUACUACUCAACUGGAGGUUUGGAGGGGGGGACUGGAAUUCUUGGUGUAGCAGUGAAAUGCGUAGAUAUCAAGAGGAACACCAGUGGCGAAGGCGAGUCCCUGGACAACACCUGACACUGAGGCACGAAAGCUAGGGGAGCAAACAGG
rnacentral:rRNA from 1 species